rnacentral:ncRNA from 2 species
UUGUUAUCACGAAAGCUGGAGGGAAUAGACCCUGCGAAAGCUUAGCAACCCUACACUUGUAGAAGGUGCUACAUUCUAUUUCGAUUUUAUCGGAAAAAGAUAACGU